CGUCCUCACCACCACCCCCGUUCCGCCGUCACCCAGAGUCGGAUUUGCGGGCAGAUAAUAUAAAAUGUAAUUUAGAAAAAUAUAUACAGAAAAGUCGGGCGUUUGGUUGCGAUGGUUUUUGGCUUCGGCUGCCCGAGUGGAUUCGACUGCUCCAACCGCUGCUUCACCAACUGCUCAUGCUUUCUGUUGCUGCUGCUGCUGCACCAACUGCGCUUCUGUUUCCGCUUUUACUGCUGCACCUAUUGCUUGCUGCUGUUGCCGAUGCCGCAGUUUCUCUUGCCGUUGAACCACCUCGCGCUUUCUAACACUGCUGGUGUCAAGUGCAGAUGGAGUCGCAGGAAUUUAAGAGGGAACAAUGCGUUUGUACGUUCAAAGUGAGUGCUACGCUUUUACGGACGCGGGCAUACACACGCAGGCGCGCAUGAUGUCAAACGUGUACAAAAACGAAAAGUUUGGCGUUUUCUCGAAAUCAAUUGUACGUGCCCCAGAAUGGAUUGUUGUUGUUAUUGCUCAUAAUAAUACCAAGCAGCUAAAAACAACAACAACACAGCGUUGCUACAGAUUUAUUUAUCUUUCCCUCGAUUUUUAAACUCGCAGAUUUGCGUCCCAGUCUGCGUUAAGGGUCGCUCGCAAUUUGAGUCAGCGCAAAAGUUCGCAGAAUGAUGAUAGCGAUAUCAAAAAUAAUUAUUGAGAAUUCUAUUAUGAACGUAGCAUUUAAAUGCAUAUAUUCUAAUUUUAAUCAAUAUAUGAAAAUUAAUUAUUGAGAUAUUAUUAUAUUAAUAAAAUGUAUGGAAAGGCAAAAAUGAGAGCAAAUUGAUAAUAAAUUAAAGUGUUAAAUAAGAAAUCACUGCAAGACCUUUCUCGCAAGAGUUUUUCCUUUGCUUGUUGAUCGGAUCAACUGAAGAAAAGAAUGAGCAAUUUAAUUCUAAACUUAUUCAAAUACCGUUUUAUUUGUUAAUUUUUUUUACAAACUACAGAAGAAUGCUUGAUUCCAAAUCGCCUCUUAAAAUGGACCACGUUAAAAUAAACACCGUCAAAAGUUUAAAGCUGCGCUCAACACAAAUACGGAGUUUAAAUCGCUGACAUAAAACUGAAAUUUUAAGAUAAAAAAAAUGGGGAAAAAAAUGUUCUACUUCACUCACGUCGCGACUUGACUUCGUGAAUGAGCUUCGAUGUAAAACCUACGAGGUCCUGGAAAACGCAACAAUAUUCCCGCGUGGAUUUUCGGACAGCAACAAACGACGGAAGACGUGCUCUCGCUGAACUCGAGUUCGAACGACGGCUGUCGCCGACGUUUGGGGAGAAGCGAUCGGUCGAGUCCUUCGGGCGCAACGGCCGGCGACGUUUUGCGGCGACAGCCGAAAUCUUCAAGGGUUAAAAGAGAGGGACCCCCGUGAUCGCCGACGCGGCGAGACAAGCGGCACUCCUUACCGCAAAAUCAAAGGGCGGCGCGCAUCGUUACAGAGUUGCGUCCGACGGAAAAGAAUCUCCCCAGCGCUGUCAGCCGCCUACACCGAGUAACCAGACCGAGGGAGCAACGGUGCAGCGAGUGAUGGCAGGUGUCUUGAAAGCUGAAGCAUCGUUUGCGCGGUCGCGGCCGGCACAAGUGAAUGAGACGGAAUCACAGGAGCUGACACUCUGUUGUUCCCAGAUUCCCAUCAACGCACGGAAAAUCUCUGGAAUCCAACAAGAGGCUUCUUGUUCCCAGACGCCAAAAGCAACGGCGCCGUGCAACGGUUUGCCAGCGUUAACACUGUGUUCAUAAUACUCGCGGUGAAUUUUUUUUUUUUACAAAGACAUCAUAUAACUGAGAGGUGGUGGAGAGGGGGAAAAAAUGAGCGGAGGAAAAAUGCCGAAUAUGAUUUGACUUCUAGAAAUGCAACUCCAAAAAUGCCAGAACAGACUUCAACAAAAGCUACUUUUAUAAUGCCUAUGUAACAAAAGUUGAAGGAAAAAAAAGGAAGUAAAAUAAAAAAACCGAUAUACGCAAGCAGGCGGAACACUUGAACACUUGCGGAUUCUUGUCAGAACAACGACGCGCCGCUCCUCGAGUAGAAAUCACUCCGCUCGUGGAAUCUGAGCUCCCCGACGGAACGUCGCGAUCGUGAGCUUCGUCGCUUCCUCGCUCGUCUUUCUUCAACACUACAGCGAGUGGCUCUGCGGUGUCAUCUUCCAGGACCAUUCCCUGGUGUGAUACGACGGACUGCUCACUAGCGCUCGACGUUCUCUCGCCGACGCCGAGGUGAAACGUCUCAGGCCGAGUCAACGUAGCGGGGAGUCCCAGAAAAAGAGGUCACCAAACCAGAAAACGCUACCAGCCUUGACAGCAAAGCCAAGAGCAGCGAUACAGAGUUCCACCGCUCCACCCCUUCCACCCCCCCUCCCCUUCGUCUGCCGCCAAGCGCAUGAAAAAAUGCGCCGUCAUUUCUCAGCGUUCACCAAAGUCCAAGCGAGUUCCCGCUCAAAUUAAUGACCGCGCCCCUACUCGACAUCGGUGGAUAAAGAGCUUCACAGCUCAUCGGAUUCCUUCGGUCUUUAGAGAGAUUCUGAUUCUGACGCAUUGCUGCUCACCUUCCCCGUUCACGGCCCUGAGAGGGGUGGAAAUUCCGCAAUCUCUUGGUGGUUGGCGAGUCCCUUUACAGGGCAACCCACAAAGUGGUUUCUCGUUUUUAUCGGCCUCACAAGGAUGUUGGGCCGAGUGAACCCGCGACCAGGAUUAGAACUCGUAACCUUCCGAUUGCAAGGGCGGCCGUAGUACCACGGAGCCGGCAGGCCGGUGGUCACAGUUAACCGCCACAUUUUUACUUUGCCAUUUCAGACAGAACUGAACUACCAGUGCAAAUGUUUUCCCCUACCUCGUGCUGUUCUGUCCACUUACUUUGAAUACUUAAUACAUGUGUGAGGAUGUAAUUUUUUUUUGGUAAAUUAUUUUUUAUUGAUCCAACCACAGGGCGGGGGGGGGGGGUGUGUACAGCUUCCGCGACAGGCGAGUGGUGCAUAGCGGGAUAGGCGGCUCGCGAGCUCUGAUGAGACCGUUGCAAAUUCCGGGUGACUUGGGUCAAAUGCACCACACGUCCUAAUUUGGAAGGUUGUUCCACGGGGGACGGCAAAAAACCGUGAUGAAGAGGAGAUGCUUCAAUAAAAAUAACAAUAAUAAUAACACUACAACUAGGAAACUAAAAUAGUCCUUGGGCGACACCAGAAUGUGCUGCAAAAACACAUGCCGAGCAAUCCAAACAAACUUACUCGCGAGCCAGAAAAAGGGAGAGAGACAGCUGUGUGUGGGGGGGGGGGGGCUGUGGGCUGUGCUGAGCGACAGCAGGGCCUAAGCAGCGAGGGAGGGCAGCUGUUCGGCCAGGCAGGGCCCUUCAGCGACGCCGACCACUCACACGGCUGCUAUUGGGGCAAGAGCCGGAGAAACGCGGGCAGCCAACGGGCGCGCUGAAGUGCGCGCGCGCUCUGCGAGCGAGGGGUCGCGUCGAUCGCGACGGGCGGAUUUAUUUUUUAAGCUCGCGAGCGCCCGCUGUGCUACGGAGUGGCCAGGCGGUGGCAGUACAGCAAGCGGGUUCGUGAACCCGUGCCAUACGUCAUUUAAAAAAAUAAAAA